rnacentral:lncRNA from 1 species
AUAGGACCUCACCUUUCUCCUCUGCCAGUUCAGAAAGGAUGAUAAUCGGAGUAUAGAUAGGUGCUUUAUCAGGAUAAGAUCCUCCACCUCUGGAGAAGGUGAAUGGCCCUAGAGGAAAAAACCUACAAAUACCCAAUGCAAGGGCUGAGUCCUCCCUGACACCCUGUAGGGAUGGCUCCAGUUGACAAAUGAGCUGCAACAAACCACACAAUUUCCAGCCAUCAGAUUCUUGGCUAUGGGUGAACAAACAUAGAUUUUCAGAGAGCUUUAGGGAACACUUCCAACAUGAGACCAAAGUAGCAAUCUGAAUGCAAGGCACCUCGGAGGGACAAAGUCCACACAGAAAGGAAAAUCUAUAGUUAAUAUUCUCAGAAAAGUAAAGAAGAUAUUUCAAUUAUAAAACAAGAAAGAAUGCUUUAAGAAAACAACAAAUUGGGCUGGGGAUGUGGCUCAAGCGGUAGCGCGCUCGCCUGGCAUGCGUGUGGCCCGGGUUCGAUCCUCAGCACCACAUACAAACAAAGACGUUGUGUCCGCCGAAAACUAGAAAAUAAAUAUUUUAAAAAAUUCUCUCUCUCUCUCUCUCUCUCUCUCUCUCUCUCUCUCUCUCUUAAAAAAAAGAAAACAACAAAUUAAAAGCUAGCAAUUGAAAAUUAAAAGUAUGACAGCCAGCCAGGCACAGUGGCACAUAUCCAGCAACUUGGGAGGCUGAGACAGGAGGAUCACAAGUUUGAGGCCAGCCCAACAACUGCCUCAAAAUGAAAAAAAUAAAUAAAGAGGGCUGAGAAUGUAGUUCAGUGGUAAAGCAACCCUGGGUUCAAUGCCCUAAAAAUAAAAUCAACAACAACCCAAAAGCCAUUACAGAGAGAUCUGGGUGUCUGGCAUUACUGAGAAAUUUGGAUAUCCAGCAACACUGUCAUUCCUACUUGGAAACCAUUACCUACAGUUGGCUGCACUCCCACUCUCCAGUAAAGUUCCAACCUGGAAGCUUUGUUCAUGGAUGUGCCCUGCCUGGCUCCUGGGAAUAGCUGGGUUUUGGAGACCUGCAAUUAACCUUUAACCAAAUCAAUUCUAGUCUAUAUCAGUCCCAUUGGUGUCGGUCCCCACCCCACAACCCAGCAUUCUCCCUAGGACUCUAAAAUGCCAGUCCAUGAGCAGAUGCCAGCAGCAGAGCCAGCCAGCUAGCUGUCUCCCCAGACUCUGCCCAGCAGCUCAGGUCAAGGAAGGAAGGGAACUAGCCAGAAACAUGAGCCAGGGCUGGGCGAGGCUGUGACAUGGACAUUACCUCUCAGCUUCACCAUGAACUUUGGCAGUUCAUGAAUCCCGACCAACAUCCUUCCUGCUUGUCUGGCAGCUAAUGGUUAACAGAGGCCCUGGGAGAAACCAACUUGAGCUUCUCUUGGGCUAGGCCCUGGGGCACCAAUAUUCAUCUAAGAUCUGGCUGGGCCUGAUGACUGUAAUGCCAGCAGCUGGGGAGGCUGAGGUAGGAGGAUCCUGAGUUUGAAGCCAGCCUCAGCAAUUUAUUGAGGUACUUAGCAACUCAGUGAGACCCUAUCUCUAAUUAAAAGACAAACAAGGACUGGGGAUGUGGCUCAGUGGUUCAGCGCCCCUGUGUUCAAUCCCUGCUACCAAAAAGAGAGAGAGAAAGAGAGAGACAGGCAGACACUUCUGGGUGCUAUAUUUAUGUAGCUGGACCUCACUUGCUAUAGUGGCCCAUGCAAGUAAUUUCAGCAACCUGGGAGGCUGAGGCAGGAGGACUGUAAUUUUGAUGCCAACCUGGGCAAUUUAACAAGGCCCUAUGUUACAAGAAAUAAGAGGACUGGAGAUAUAUCUCAGAGGUAGUAUGCUUACCUAGCAUGUAAAGGCCUUGGGUUUGAACCCAACACACACACACACACACAAAAUGUAAAAAUAAAAAAUAAAAAAGACUUGAGAUAUAGCUUUGUGGUAGAGUACCCCUGGCCUCAACCCCUAAUACCAAAAUAUUAAAAACUCAAAUUAGUAAAAGAAAAAAAAUUUUUUUUCAGUACUAGGGAUUGAACCCAGAAGCACUUUACCACUGAGCUCUAUCUCCAGCUCCUUUAUAUACAUCCAUAUAUAUAUAUAUACAUGGA